GAUAUUGAAAUGAUGAUAUACCUUCAUGUCUCUUCUCUGACAAAUACUGAAGAGAAUGUUGAUAUCUGACUUGAAUUUU
ensembl:snoRNA